AGAGGAGUGGCAGAGCGGUUGAAUGCAUCGGUCUUGAAAACCGACAGCCCUUCACGGGGCUCGGGGGUUCGAAUCCCUCCUCCUCUG
rnacentral:tRNA from 1 species